rnacentral:lncRNA from 1 species
UUGGGGACGGUGUCAAAACAUUGAUUAUAGAUAAAAAUUAAAUCAUGUGCGUCUUGGUGAAUUCAAAUCACAUUUACGUAACAUCCUAAUAUUAUGCUUUUGUGAUAUUGUUGACUAUCAUACGACUUGAAAGUUGUACGCGUGCAAUAGUGGGUGGGAUAGAAAAAGGGGGGCUGAGAGUUGUACAAGUUCAUUCGAUUCUAGAUUGAUUAUAUAUACAUAGUAAGCCAGUUAGAUAAUAAUUGUAUUGUUGUAUUACAGUUCAUGAAAAAGUUUAAUGUAUGGCUUUAUUAAUCCCACACAACGCUCUAUUGUCUGAUUGAUUUCUUCUCUCGGGUGUCUCCAUAAGCUUCCAUUGACUCUGAAAGUUUUGAAGCGCCUUAUAUCGUGUUCGACAUAUACCCGCCACUCUGAUAUACGCAAAUUCAUUUUUUUUUUACAUUUUCUUCUUUCUGCUCGUCGUUUAGCUCUUAGUUGAUGCCUUUUUUAAAUCUAAUCCUAUCCCCCUCCCUCUCCCUAAAAAAACCAACUGGUUAGUACACAUCUAUAAAAACGCCAUAAUAAUUAUUUUAGGAAACCCCUAGCAUUGUUAGCUUAUAUAGAGGAAAGACCCAUCGGCCAUCGGUGUUAAUUUUCCUAUUGUCAUUUUCUUAUGAAACGGUUGGCGAAUUUCAACCAAACUUUCCAGGAAUUUGUAAAAUACAAAAUAUCUGCAUAAGGUGGUGUUAAGGUGUAAAUGCAAAGUCAUUAUGUAAUGCUUUUGAAACUCUGCGGGAAUGUUCAACUGAUGAGUAGUGAGUCAUAUUUUACACAAACCUCUUAUCGUUCUAAACAGGCAUUAAAUAUUUGCCACUGAACGUUAUGCAACCAAUAAUCAAUCAAUCACAAACACCUUAUAAAGAAAAUACAAAUUGAGCUGAAACUGUUUAAAUUAAGACAAAGUUGGAAGGAAAUAAAGGAAG